CACACCGCCCGUCACACCAUGGGAGUUGGCUUUACCGAAGGCGGUGCGCUAACCAGCAAUGGAGGCGAGCCGACCACGGUAGGGUCAGCGACUGGGGUG
rnacentral:rRNA from 1 species